GGGGCGGUUGAUGUAAAGGCAGGGGGUGAAAUUGGAUCGGAUUCCAGAUUAGGCAAAGGGAGGGGGGCAGGUUGUCAUCUGUGCUGUUUGUCACGCGCCAACAACUAACCCUCGGGGACGGGGGAGGUGAAGUCCGGCUCAUUUCAGCAUAAUACAGGAGAUAGCGGCAGAAGAGGGGGCAGAGUGACACGCGGAGGAAGAGGAGGAAGUUGUGAUGCUGGAGGAAGAGUUCAUCAAACAGGGGAAGCCGAACUGGACCUCUUGGUUAUUAUUGCCACUCUCUGCUUCAGGUGGCAUCUUGCAGGUCGGGGGCCAUUCUGCAGGGACAGAACAUCCCCCCCCUGCCCCCCCCUCCCACACACACACACACACACAAACACACUCGACCUCUCUGACCUCCACCCCUCCUCGAGGCCCGCACACGAAGGGAAAUGCUAUAUUUGGCUGAGAUGAGUAUUUUGUUUGUUCACUAGUAGAAACACUGGCCUUGGAAAGCAGCCAGAUGACUGCAGCAUGACCCCCUCCUCCAUCCUCUCUUCUCCUCUCGCUUUCACUUUUCUCCCCCUGUCAAUCCCCCCCCACCGUCAUUUAUUUCUCAUUCUCUCCGUACCUUUUUGUUUGUCUCUCAUUCUCCCUUUUCUGGUGAGCGAAGCAUAAGCAAGUCCAGUGCCAAGGCGAGUAGCCGGCAAGACGGCCUCCUCUUGCAGCACGCCAGAGGGACGGGGGGGAUAUUUUAGUGACUGUUUGAAGAUUCUGACAAAAAGAAUGAAAAAUUAAGGAUUUUCCUCUCAUCUUUCCAAAAGCACUCAGACGAGGAAGCGGCAGAAACAAAACGAGGUUGCUGUUGUGGUGUUUCUGCAAAUCAAUAACACAACGUGUCUAUUCCGCACUCGCCUGUAUCUUGAAAAACUUCGAUACAAAAGGCAAUCAAAACUCGCUUUGCUGUCCUUGUAUUUCCCGUUUUUCUUUUAAAUGAUUUUCUGAUUCAUCACCUUGGCAACAAUGUGAUGGGGAUGGGAGAGUGGGAGUUGUAAUUUGGAGCGCUCGGUGUAAACGCUCAACAUUAUAAAAGAUGUAAAUGUGUUACUGACCCAUAUUUUCAGCCCGCAUAUAGAAAACCAUGCUAUGAACCAGAUCCCUCCUGUAUCAGCCCAUCCAUCUGCUGCAAGUCCUUCUCCCCAGAGCCCAGUGGGAGGUAACGCCGCGCUGUUCCUAGGCUGUGACGGGUGGAGACCGACUGUAACGUCACCAAUCACCAACUGACUCUUUGUGCCUACCCACGUCUCCCUCAGGCGGGGAGAAUUACUACAUACUUCAUGUCCGGGUUCCUUUCAGCUGUCUCCAAGAUCUUCAACCUAAACAUGCUUAUUGCCGCCAACAGACAGAAAGGACUGUGACACAUGCUUUUGUCUCAACCCACGUCCACCACUCCUACCAGCUUCCCCCUCUGCCUCCCUUGCAUUCACAUCUACUAUCAUGAAUGCUUGCAGAACAAACACUCCACCAAUUAGCGCUAUCAGCCUGCGGCGCCUUCGGUGAACCUCUUUGUUUGCAAAGAAAAAAAAGAAUAUUGGCUUCAACGACGUGACAAGAAAAGGGCCUGUCGUAAUGGAGCCGCUGCUUGCUGCAAAACACCCCAGACCAGAACAUGGGUGGGAUGGCCGAUAGUCCGGGAGAGAUUCCAGUGAUGAGGCCCACAUCGUUCCCAGAGCUACGACGGGAGCAUUUUAGGCCGUGAGAGCUACGCGCUCCGGCUGGUGCGUUUCGUUUGUUAGAUCGCCCGCUACGGUUUGGUCCAGCUACGUCGCUGCGGAGUGUUUGCUCCGACGGCAACUUAAUGCAGCUUCAUGAAGUAGAUCUUCUCAAACGUUAUCCUUUCGUCCUGCAUGCCUCUCUCAGUCCACCACACACACACACACACACACACACACACACCUUUCAGACGAAUAAAGAUUUAAUGCAAGUUA